rnacentral:lncRNA from 1 species
UCUCUCUCUCUCUCUCUCUCUCAAAAUAAAUUUAAAAAAUUUUUAAAUAAAUAAAAAAAUAUUAAUUUGACAAAUAUUUAUUAAGCACCUACUAUGUCCCAGGAUCCCAGAGUUCCAAAAAUGAAAAAUUGAUUAAACUGCUGUUCUUAGAGAUCUAAAAGUCUACCACACCUUUUGUUAACCAAAUGGGUAAAAAUAUUUAGAUUCCACCAAGUUUAUGUUCUUUUUUUUUUUUUUUUUUUUUCAGUAGGCUUCAUGGCUAGCGCAGAGCCCAAUGCGGGGCUUAAACUCAUGAUCGAUCCUGAGAUCAAGACUUGAGCUGAGAUCGACAGUCAGACGCUUAACCGAUGAAGCCAUUCACGUCCCCUAUGUUCUUAUUUUUCAACCUAAACCCACAUAGCCAGCUGGCCAGCAAGAGAUGAACGACGUUCUCCUUCAUCGUGAGCGCUUCCCCUGGCUGCUUGAAAACAAUGCGCAGAGAAAACUUGAGCGUGAACCGACACACCUUCUGAGCCACGCGGGUGCGCGGGCCUCAUUUCUCCUUUUGCCGCUUUCUGUAUGAAGGAAUGUGCCUAGAAGCCUGUAACUCAUCGACGUUCGCGUGAGUUAGCCUUUUAUCUCACACGGUUGCGUAGCCUCUCCUCUUAGUCAGACACGGGAUCAGUUAAGAUUUUGUUAUGAAAGAAUACAUCUCCAAAUAACUGAAGUUUUAAAAAACGCAAACUUGUUCAUCCCUUCUGACUCAAAAGGCUGAAAGUAAAGCCAAAGGCACUGGUGAAUCCAGGUACUGAAACUCACUAUUUCAGUAGAUAGUUCUCUAUUAGAACUCCAUUUUUUUUUAAUGUUUAUUUAUUUGUUUUGAGAAAAAGAGAGAGAGGGGGAGACAGAGAAUCCCAAGCAGGCUCUGUGCUCUCAGCACAGAGCCCCACACUGGGCUCAGUCUCACAAAGCAGGAGAUCAAAAGUCGGACGCUUGAUCGAUUGCUCCAUUCGGGCACCCCAGCACUCUAUUUUCAUAUCUGCUUUUUAUGCUGCUCUUUGUGUUGGUUUCAUGCUCUUCAACCAGAGGCAGAUUUCCUCCGUGUGGCCGGAAAGAUGAGACCCAGCAGCUCUCCUUGAGUCAGGAACCUCAAACUUGGAGCGAUCCCUGU